UACGUAGGCAGCAAGCGUUGUUCGGAGUUACUGGGCGUAAAGGGUGCGUAGGCGGUCCUAUAAGUAUGGUGUGAAAUCUCCCCGGCUUAACUGGGAGGGUGCGCUAUAGACUGUGGGACUAGAGUGUGGGAGAGGAAAGUGGAAUUCCUGGUGUAGCGGUGAAAUGCGUAGAUAUCAGGAGGAACACCGGUGGUGUAAACGGCUUUCUGGACCGAUAAACUGACGCUGAGGCACGAAAGCGUGGGUAGCAAACAGG
rnacentral:rRNA from 1 species